rnacentral:rRNA from 1 species
ACGCUCGACACCUACGGAGGCAGCAGUGGGGGAUAUUGCGCAAUGGGGGAAACCCUGACGCAGCAACGCCGCGUGAAGGACGAAGGUUUUCGGAUUGUAAACUUCUUUUGUUAGGGACGAAGAAAUGACGGUACCUGACGAAUAAGCUCCGGCUAACUACGUGCCUGCAGCCGCGGUAAUCUGAGCGGGCUGGCAAGGC